AUGGAUGUCAAGACCUCUGAUUCCGAAGAGUGGAUACCUAUGGCACGCAAUUGGGGUGCUAACUGGCACUCGCUUGCGAACCUCACUGGCAAGAUGCUCUCCUUCAGACUAACCAAUAGUGAUGGACACACACUUGUGUUCAAUGAUGUUGUGCCAAAGGGAUGGAACUUUGGGCAAUCAUUUGCUAGCAAAUUACAAUUCUAG
rnacentral:rRNA from 1 species